CUGAGGAAGCUCUUCCCAGUGGCCUGUCUUGGGAAGAUGGUUCCACCCAUCUGCAGGCUGAUGUUUUCUUUGUGUGUUCUGCUUGCAGAGAAGCUUCAGAAAGAGCUUGACUGGAGACGGACUGAAGGCCAGGCUGAGUGGAGAGCAGCCCAAAAAUACGCAGGUAACUGAAGCCAGGAAACUGAUUUGUGUUUUGGGUUGGCUGGAUCUUAAACAGAAGGGAGGUGGGGAGAUCUGAGAUUAGAGGUCGGGGCUUUCUGGGAGCCAAGUAUGGGGCCGGCACACACAGACACACACGCACACUUGCAAA